rnacentral:rRNA from 1 species
ACGGAGGGUGCAAGCGUUGUUCGGAUUCACUGGGUAUAAAGGGUGCGCAGGCGGCCUGUUAAGUCAGGGGUGAAAUAUGACGGCUCAACCGUCAAACUGCCCCUGAAACUGCCAGGCUUGAGUCCGGGAGAGGAAGGUGGAAUUCCAGGUGUAGCGGUGAAAUGCGUAAAUAUCUGGAGGAACACCAGUGGCGAAGGCGGCCUUCUGGCCCGGAACUGACGCUCAGGCACGAAAGCAUGGGGAGCGAACGGG